rnacentral:lncRNA from 1 species
GUAGGGGCGAAGUCUCUUGCUUUUAAGUUGCGGAUUGCUUCUAAGUACUGAAUUGCUAUGCACUUGUCGUCUUGAGCUCCGCGUGCAAAGAUUUUUCCUUCUGGGGUUAGCGUGGCUGAGAAAGGAGGAUGGGUCCAUUUGGAAGGUUCAGCUGGGACAGAGUCGAGGUGCGAGUUGAAGAGGAGUGAAGGGAGAGAUGGGUUUGAGCCUUGCCAGGUUAUGAGAAGAGUUGGUUUGUUGGAAGUGAAUUCGAGAGUCUGGGUUUUGAGACCGAGGGAUUGGGCUAAGGAGGCUAGAAAAGAGACUGGAGCUGUGUAGUUUGGGUUUGGAUGGGCGGUGUUGAAUCUCAGGUAUUGCUGGUACCGGGUGAUAGGGGUUUCUGGGCCUUGUUGUGGUGGUGAUGUGCCGAGGGAGAGGCGGGGAGAGGGGAGGAGGAGGAGGAGCGCGAACGAGAGAAGGAGAGGGAAGUGGAGGGCGUUGACCAUGGUGGGGUUUGGGAGUGGGAGUGGUCUUCGGCUGUGUAUCCCUUGUUCAGCUUCUUCAAUAGGAUGUUAAUUGUAAUAUUAUUUACUAUUUAGUAUAAAAUAAAAUAAUAUAUAUAUUUAAGAUAUGCUUACAUAUAUAAUAAAAUUAUAAAUGUUACGUGUGUGUACAUAAUAUUAAGAUUAAGGUUUGUAUAUGUUAUAUUAAAUUCAAUAAAUAAAUAUAUAACAAAGAACUUGUGGAGAGGAGGGAUCAACUUUAGUAUCAUCUUUCAAAUAUCACUCCUAUGAUUUUUAAUGACUAAAAUAUCCUCCUUUUGUUUUGUAAAUGUAUUUAUUUUUCUCUAAAAUUACAUAGAAUAUUUCUUAACCUCCAUUCUCUUAUUAAUAUAUUCAAUUCUCCUCAAUAAAUGAAAUUUAAAAUACAAGUUUAUACUCAAACUAUCAUAUUUUAAAAUGCUUUUUAAUAUUUAAUAUGACACAUAACAUGCUCCGGCCAUGCUCUGCCUUUUUUGUUUAUUUUUAAGAAAUCAAGGAAUACAACAAGAACUUGUUUGUUUGAAGGAAGUUCUCGAGGAAGUAUCUAGCAAGUAGUUGAAUGAUAAAAGUUUAUUUUUUUAUGAUUUUAUGUUUGAGCUAUGUGAUUGUUAAUAUGAUGACCAUUUGAAGUUUACAUGAUUAUCAAUUUUAAAACUCGUAAAAUUAAUCGACAUGCAUAUAAGUUGAUUUAGAGAUCCACGUUAAUAAUAAAUAAUAAUAAUAAAGUAGCUCAAGGGGAAAUUUCUUUAGUAUUAUGGGCAAUGGUUAAAUUUAGUUGACUUUUUAUAGCACUUUAGACGUUGCGGUGCAGACAAGCUAGUUCACCAACCAUGUGUAUCACAUCAAGGAAAUAUUCAAUUUUUUUAAAGAUUGAAAUUAUAAUUUUUUUUUGUCAAAAUUCUAUUUUUAUAUAUAUAUAUAUAAUUUAAUAAAUCCAUGACAUUUUUAUCAACAUCCUAAUUUUUUGAAUAAAAACUUAAAACAAUUAAAGUUAUUUAAAUUUAAGAGAAAAAAUAUUUUCUUUAUCAGAACUCUCUAUAUACUAUUCAUUUAUUUGUUUUUAUUUUGAUGAAAAUUGUCUUAUUAAAACUAUUUUUUUUCAUAUAAGAACUUAUCAUGAUGUUGAACCGAUAUUCACUAAAUAAAUGAAAAAUAAUAUUUUGAUUAUUUUACAUGAUUGUAUAGAAAAAUUAAAAAAAUAUUUAAUUCAAAAAGCUAAUAUAAAAAAAUGAUGAUAAAAUAAAUUAUCGAUGAGCAUUUUUUAAAAUAUCAUGCAUAUUAUUUUCUUGUGUAAUUUACAAAUAUAACCAUAAAAAGUGAUAAUCUUAUUUUUUUUAAAUGUGGUAUAAUUGAAUGAUUUUUAAAUUAUAAUUUUAAUUAUGUAUUUAAAGAUGAUUUUAUUUCAAGAUAUAUUUUUUUAUAAAAAAAAAUAGAAGAGACAAAAGUUAACCUAAUGACAGUUUCCAGCUAGCUGCGUGGUGUAAUUUAUAUUUCAGAGUUUUAGAGGAAGGUCUCGGAUUCGACUCCAUUACCGUGACUAGAUUGCAAACAAUUCCAGGUGUUGGGCCACUUAUCCGGCCCACUGCUCAUGAUUUAUCGAUCUAGAAAUCUCAUUAUUCAGAAUUUGCCUAAUAUAGCCUGUCGCCUGCCUUUGUUCUUCAACGAUAUGCCACGGGAUAGGAAAGAGGUGAUGCGACAUUACAGUGUAGGUAAGCGUUUGGUAUUUUUUUUAUUUAAAAAUAUUUUUUUUAGAUUUUUUUUUCAUAUCAACAUAUUAAAAUCAUAAAAAACACUAAAAAAAAUAUCAAUUUAAUAUUUUUUUAAAAGCAAACACACUUUUAAAAUAAAAUAUACACCGUACACAGUUAAAAACACAAUACCAGUGACAAAAGAGAUAACAGUUCCCUUGAGGUCAAUUUAUCAAUAGGUUUGCUAUUUGAACAAUCAACAUGUUAUGGUUCUCCUCCUAAGUUAUCUCCGGCUAAAAUGUAGUUACUGAUUUCUCUUUUUUCCACAAGUUAACAAAGUGGGAAGUUCAGGUUGGAAAACAAAGUGACCUCCACCAUUUCCUCUCCUUUUUUUUUUGUUGCCAUGGGCAAGGCCUGGGCCCAGAUACUAACAAGGCAUCGCCACCGGCCCACCUCUAUAUCUUGAUGCAUACAAAAUAUGGGAAAUGACAGGAGGAGGAGCGUCCAAGCCUUGAGUGCCAAACUGCAUUAAGCAUCCUUGUUAUCAAUAAGAUCUGCACACAUAUUCCCCUCCCUAUGACUCCGCUUUAUUUAGGUAAUCCAAUUACGUUAGCAGAUGGAUGAGAUGAAAACAGGGCAUACGUUACACGGAAAUAUUCUGAAGGACUCGGCUGUUUUCUUACACGGAAACAUUGGCAAACAUUAAGGUUAUCCAAACCUUCAAGAUUUUAAGAAUAAAAAAAAAUAAAAAAAGAAGAAGAAGGAGCUACCGUGAUGCAUAAAAGAAAAGACCUUCAUAUAUAACAUCGAUGAAACUUCUUUGACGUGCAGUAUUGAAUGCUGCCAGUUAGCAGAUGCAUGUAUUUUCUUGUCUACCUGGUCUGAUUUUCCCUUACCUUAAUACUUGAAAAAGGCAAUCAGAGUUAUCACAUGAGUACCUUCUCACACCUCAACUUCAGAGAACAUACGGGUUUAAAGGAUGGAAUAGCAAGUCAACUAUCAACUAAUGGAGUCUGUACAAAAGGGUUUUAAUAGGUCCGUAUACAACAAACUCUGUUGCUCUUCUUAUUGAUAAGCGCUCUUAUUAACAAUGUGAAUGAUGAUCAUUAUAUCAGUCAAGUGCAAUAACCAAAGAAAGAUUAAGCUAUAAAUACCAAAACGAUGCAAGCAUCUUGGCAUAUCUUACCAGUGAAACAACCCCGCCACACCAAAAUCAGAGCAUGCCAUACAUCGGUCCUCCAAUCAUGUCGAAACUGAGAACAUCUAUAUUGAAUUAGCUUCCUCAAAUGAACUCAACGCAUGAAUUAUAUGUUCAUAAACCUCAAUUCCUUUCAAGAAUACGGUGUCUUUCAAGAACUGCAACACACGCUUACAGAUGUAAGUACCAAGCAUGAAUAUGAAACUGCAAAAGAGAAUAAUUUUUUUGCAAACUUGCCAAACCUCGUUAUGGUCAUGCAAUAAAAUAGGGGUAUUUGUCAUUGGAGAGAAUCCAAAAGCGGGAAUCCCCAACUGUCUCAUGAACCGUGCAUCAGUAGUUGAAGCCAAUAUUUCAGGCUUUGCAAGUUUUCCUCCAGCUGCUGCAAUGGCUUGCUUGAAAACAGACCACCAUGGGUUCGAAUCAUCUGUUGCUGUCAUUAAUGGGCGUCCCAUAUAAUCUCUCAAGGGUCCUUUCUCAAUUAUCUAUCAUAUAAACAAGUAAUCAGACAAAUUUCUCUAAUGCAACCUUUACUUGUUGAGAGCCAAAAGCAACACCGCUGCCAAGAGCAAAAAAUCAUGACAUUAUAUGCUCUUGGAAUGGUUGUUAGCAUAAAUUAUCAAACCCUGUAAUUAUGUGGCUUUUAACUACAAUUGAGAUUUCUCAAUAAAUAUUCUCAAGUGACUCACAAACCACAAGACAAUAUCAAUUAAAAUGAAGAAAAAGAGAAGCGAACAAGGUAAUCCAGAUCAUCACAUUGAAUUCAAGUACCAUUCCUUCACAAAUUCCAGACAAAUUUCUCCAGCAGUUGAUGUUUGAACGUCAAAGAGACAGUAACCAAGAAUAUCUAUUGCUGAUUUAAUAAAAGGAUAACAUAACAGACCAUUGAUAUGGAUGGUUCCAUCCCCCUUUGUAUGUCUAGAUGACAUAGUUUAGCUGGUCAGUGGACCAUCCCAUACCAAACCUUUUGAUGGAGGAGCAAAUAAAAGAAUUCAAAGCAGUUAAAAAUCAAUAUUGAUUUCAUAAAGGAGAACCGAGAUUAUUUCAUGCAAAAAUAAACCAUAUCAAUCCUAGGUCUUAUCAGAGAUCGAGUGUUCUUUGUUUUAAGAAGAGACAUUUCCAUGUUUAAAGAUACUCUCAAUCUUAAAUUGUAAAAGUCGAUGCAUCAUUUGCAGUGGCACAAAGUACAUGGAUAACAUUGAAAAUACCCUUAUUGCUAAUACAGCUUUUGCAAUGCACAAUGUAAUUUUUGAAAAAUCCAUAAAAAAAAAGGUAUAUCUAACUUGUUCUUGAUACUAAAGCAUUGAGAAGCAUAUAUCGCGGGAGGACUAGUCAUCUAAGCAACUAUGAAGAAAUUUUCUGAAGAAAAACCUUGUGCGUGCAGCACAUGCAGACCAGAAGAUUGUGCAUUCCAUUUAAGUGCCGGUAUCCAGCACUUAAAUGUUAAAGCAGUGACAAAGCAUUACUAUUGUUAUCACCCACGACCAGGACCAAACUUUGGCAACAUGUUAAAGCAAUAAAAAAUAAAGCCUAUGGUGGUCAGAAUAGUCACGAGAUGACAUUCUGGACAUUCUUAGGCAACUUUAGGCCCUAAAUUGCUCUUUGGGGCCCCAAAUUCAGCUUUUAGGGCAAUGUUUAUGAAAAAGAAAAUAUGAAUGCAGUCAAAUAAUGCUCUAAUAAGGAAUGCUUUUGACUGGUAAACUUCAAAUCUCAAAUAAUCGGGGCAGCGUUUCAAACCAACCAAACUCUCUGAAACAUUCCCAGAUUUCCUACCAUUUCACGAGAUAAGCAAGGACCACUUGAGAUUACUUCAAUUAGUGAGCAUCAAUGCAUCGUGUUAACCACCAAUUCAAAUAACAAAAAGGGCCUCCAUCACGUUGCUAAAAAAGGGAAACAACAACCCACAUUCCCAUGAAUGAAUUCAAAAUGCCAUCUAAAACUUUUAUGAUUGAAGAUAAAUACCCAUCAUGAUGUUACCUCGUACGUCAUGUUUCGUACAGCUGGCGCCCACUCUUCAGCAAUUCUUUUCUUCACAAGAUCUGGGUCCGCUGUAGGAGGCAAUCUAAGAUCAAACCCUGCUUCUGCCUCCGAGGGUUGCAUAUUCAUCACAAAACCCUACACAAGCACCUCUUUAUCAUCAAUAAAGAAACACGCUUAGAGUCCAAACCGUACAAACACAGUAGGACAAACACUUACAGUUGGGGAAGGAAUCCCAGCUUUCAAGAAAACAGGAUUAACUGAGAUAACUUCCGAGUUCGCAGCUUUUCCAGCCUUAACAACGUCAAACUGACUAUCUCUAAACCUGUUGAUAACCUCGAUACUAUCCAUCAAAUUCUCCAUAGCUCCGUUAUCAUACAUUCUCGACCCGUGCCCAGGCACUCCUUUAGCCUUAAUAAUCAAAUUCAAAGGCGACCUAUCAGCAUAAAAAACUCUAAAUUCAUCGUUAACUGAAGCCUGCCCUUCAUCCAAAACAAACCCAACAUCCAAAUCUUUAAACUCUUUAGACUUGACAAACUUACCAGCCCCGUCAAUCCCACCAAUCUCCUCAUCAGGAACAAAAGAAAUGUGUAGUGUUCUUGUAGGGACAAAGUUUCUUGCUUUUAAGUUGCGGAUUGCUUCUAAGUACUGAAUUGCUAUGCACUUGUCGUCUUGAGCUCCGCGUGCAAAGAUUUUUCCUUCUGGGGUUAGCGUGGCUGAGAAAGGAGGAUGGGUCCAUUUGGAAGGUUCAGCUGGGACAGAAUCGAGGUGCGAGUUGAAGAGGAGUGAAGGGAGAGAUGGGUUUGAGCCUUGCCAGGUUAUGAGAAGAGUUGGUUUGUUGGAUGUGAAUUCGAGAGUCUGGGUUUUGAGACCGAGGGAUUGGGCUAAGGAGGUUAGAAAAGAGACUGGAGCUGUGUAGUUUGGGUUUGGAUGGGCGGUGUUGAAUCUCAGGUAUUUUUGGAACCGGGCGAUUGGGGUUUCUGGGUCUUGUUGUGAAUCUUGUGAUGAUGAUGUGGCGAGGGAGAGGCGGAGAGAUAGGAGGAGGAGUGUGAGCGAGAGGAGGAGGGGAAAGUGACGGGCGCUGGCCAUG